AUGAAGAUCUUCAUGGUCUUUGCCCUCCUCGUUGCAUCAACGACCAUCACCACCGCGACCGCACAGCUCGACCCUCGCAUCCAUGACCAAGAAAGGCCACAACAAUCGUUUCUGCAACAGCAACCACUUAUCCAGCAACAACCAUACCCGCCUCAAGAGCCACAACAACCACUAUUCCCGCAAAAAGAGCCACAACAACCAUUUCCGCUGCAGCAGCCACAAUACCAGCAACAACAACCGUAUCCACAACAACCACUUCCCCAAGAACAACUUCCCCAGCAACAUUUAUUUCCGCAGCAGCCGCCACAACAACAAUUUCCACAACAGAUGCCACUUCCGCAUCAACAACAAACAUUCCCGCAACAACAACAACAACAAGAACAACUCCCACAACAACAACCACAAUUCCCGCAACAACAACCAUUUUCCCAAUAUCAACAACCAUUAACACAACAACCAUACUCGCAAGAGCAACCAUUGCCACAACAACAACCUUCUGUAGAGGAAAAACAACAAUUGAACUUGUGCAAGGAGUUCCUCCUGCAGCAGUGUAACCCAGAGGAGAAACUGUCGUUACUCCAGUCAGUGAUCCCGUUCCUCCGACCAAAGACCUCGCAACAGAACAGCUGCCAGUUGAAGCGACUACAAUGUUGUCGACAACUUGCACAUAUCAGUGAACCGUCCCGAUGCCCGGCCAUCCACAACAUUGUGCAUGCCAUCGUCAUGCAACAACAACAUGUGGAUAGAGGUUUCGGCCAGCCUCAACCACAACAGUUGGGCCAGGAAAUGCCCAUGCAGCCUCAACAUCAAUUGGGCCAGCACUCUAUCCUACCUCAACAACUAGCCCAGUACCAGUUGGUUAGGUUACUUGUGAUUCAGACCCUUCCUAUGUUAUGCAACGUGCAUGUCCCGUCUGAUUGCUACACCAUUACUGCACCAUUUGGUAGCAUGACUGCCUACAAUGGUGGACAAUGA
rnacentral:rRNA from 1 species